UACGUAGGUGGCAAGCGUUGUCCGGAUUCACUGGGUGUAAAGGGCGUGCAGCCGGGAAGACAAGUCAGAUGUGAAAUCCCGCGGCUCAACCGCGGAACUGCAUUUGAAACUGUUUUUCUUGAGUACCGGAGAGGUCAUCGGAAUUCCUUGUGUAGCGGUGAAAUGCGUAGAUAUUAGGAGGAACACCAGUGGCGAAGGCGGCUUACUGGACUGUAACUGACGUUGAGGCUCGAAAGCGUGGGGAGCAAACAGG
rnacentral:rRNA from 1 species